GUAAUUGGUCUAAUGGUUAAAGGAAAAGUAAGUAUAAAAACUAGAUCAAAGUCCCAAGUUCACUUGUAAAAUAGCUUUAUUUUUGCUAAAAAAUUUUCUUAUUUUGUGUCGUCCAAGCCUUGAACCCAAGGUAUAAAUACAUCUUUUUAUUCUAUUUUUUAGCCUUCAAGUCCAAUUUUCCCUAACCUAUCCGUUCAUCCUCUUCCUCUCCUCUUUUCUCUUCAAUUUUGUUUCUUUCUUCCAUUGUGUGCCGCCACCUAAGCCACCAAGAUUCACCAUCAAUUUCUCUUCCUUUUGUAACGGGUUCUUGCACCAUUCUUUUCCCUCCUUCUUGCUUCCAUUUUUUUUUCUAUUUUUCCAGCCAUAAAUCUAAAAUAUUUGACCUUCAAGAACGAUCUCCAUUGCUACCAAGAAGCUCCAUUGCCACCCAUUUCAUCUAGCUAAUGGUUCAGUCUUGAUCAUUCGACGACUCAAAUCUGACAAUUCAAGAAGCGUAAGUGUGGUAGUUUAUCGACUAGUGUAUAGUUUUGACUUAAUUGUUGGGAAAAUUGAUAAUUUAUUGGAUUGAAGAAUUUUAUGAUCAUAUAGCUACUAAUUUUUUAGUAUUUAAUGGUGUUAGGCGUCGACCCAAACUCCCCAAAUUGACAGGUAAGCCGUUAGACAUUCUAGCGUACAUUUCGCAUCAAACCAAUCUAAGAAACCUAGUUAACUUGGAUCCAGAGAAUAGUAAUAAAUAUGUUGUUUGAUUUGAACCCAUAAAAGGGUGUUUUAGGGAUGUUUUAAAUGGUGUAUUAAUUUGAUAAAAUAUUGAUUUUUAAUUUAGACUCGAUUUAAGGUCUUAAAGAGAAAUUGUGGGUUUCGUCAAUGUGUUGUAAUAGUGCGAAAAAAAGGUGUGGGUCCUAACUUGUUAAUUUGAAUGUUUUGAUAAUAUUAUAUAUGAUCUAAAUGGGGAAUAAGCUUGCUGUUCGGUCUUAGUUAAUUGACUAAGUAAAUGUGUUAAAGUGGCUAAAUUAGGUACAUUACUGGCCUUGACUAAAUGACAUGUUUGCAAAAUUGUUUGGUGAACUAAAUAGUUAACUGUUUGAUUUUGAUAUGAAAGGUAUGUUGAUAUGAUGUCUGAUUGAUUGUAUGUAUAUCAUGUGUUAUUUUGGAAAUUGAUAUUGAAUGACUAAAAUCUUGAUCAAAUGCCAUGAAAAGUAUUGAAUGGAAAAAAUUGUUUUACAUGCACUAGAAAUAUUUUCCAAAAGUGUUAAUGAUUGAUGAUAUGAUUAAAUGUCACCGUAUUGAUGGUGAAACUAAAUGAUUGAUAUGUGAACGUUAUAAUGAUGGCAUGUAAACUAUGCUAAGAAAAGAAUACGUAUGAAAUGUGCAUUUGAUUGAAAUAUUGUAUAACAUAUUGCAUGUGCAUGGGGUGGGAUAUUGUGGUUGACAGAGGAAUUCCGUGGAGUUCUGGCGGCAUAUUAAGUUUCCAUUUAUAUGUAGUUAGUGCACUGCAUCGGGAGUAUUUUGGAGACUGGUGAUUUUAUUGCAGUUUUAUGUUAAAUGGAAAUAUAUCUUUAUUACGUUUUAUGGUGGUUCGACCACAUUGAGCUUUGCUCGCAAUGUUUGGAGUUUGACAGAUGGAUUUUGGGGAACUUGUGGUUUGUAACGGAUGGUUUGGGUAGGAAUUCAUCAUGCAUUAUGAUAUGUCCAUGACACUUAUGAAUGGUAAUAUUUAUGUUAUGGUUGUGAUGCCACAGUAAUUUUGGUGAAUGAUAUUUGCUUGAAUGAUUGAAUGUGCUUAUGGUUUAAACACAGACUGAACUAAUUAGCUCGUUUAUGUUAUGUAUUGUAUUGUGUUGUAUCAAGUGGUAUUGGAUUAAUGAUUGUUUCUUGUAUGAAUGAUUAUGUGAUUAUAUUGUUAUAGACUCACAUUGAGCUAGUUUAGUUCACCCCAUAGUUCAAACUUCUCAGGUAAUGCUCAUGACUAGGAUUAGACCCGGCAUACGAAAUAUCAUCUCGGACAUCUAACUAUCUUUAAAUAAGUAUUAUUAAUAAGUCUCUAUUGGUUUUGGUUUGUAAUUUUUAAUUAUUUUUUAUGUAUGGCUUGAUUAUUUUUUAUUCAGGGAUUUUGAACAUGCAUGGAUCAUUGAAGCUUAAUAAAUGGUAAUUACAUGAUAUCUGGCUUAAGUAAAACUAUCACUGAUCAUCAAUUUUCCGUUGCAUUGCAAAUUAACCAUUUUUAAAAAAAAGUAAAUUGAUAAGGAAACUAAAGUUCCAAAAUGACAUGAAUAAUGAUUUUCAGUGCAUUUCAAUGAUUCAUUUAAAAAAAACAUAAUGUCAAAUCAAUUAGUCUUCUAAAAUAUGACAACAAUAAUAAAAUAGACUCUAAGUAAAGAUGAACUAAUUAAAUGAAUGCUUUAACGUUAUUUAAUUUCAAAAGUGAUGAUUUUUCCUAAAGUUAGGCAAGUUAGGGUUUUUCGUAAGAUAACCCCAAUAAAUGAAUCUUUUAUCUAACUUGGAUCACCAAUAAUAGUUUUCUUCAAAAUUAGUCGUGUUAAGGAUUUUCAAAGGUCAAAUUGUCUGCUUAGCCUUCUCAAUCUUGUCAUAAUGUUUAGGUCGGGUUUGGGAGGUUACACACCUCCUCUAAUAGAUAAGUUGUUUCUCCUUUGCGAAUACAUUCAAUAGCUAGAAAAUGUCCCACACCAUUCCCUUGUCUCUGUGCAUGUAGGAAAAUACAUAUGCGAUAGUUAGUGCCGAUUGAUUUCAAUUCCAUAAUAUAUGCACCUAUUAGAGACCCAUCUUGUUUGUUUGCAUUAAGCUUCACCACUGUAAGAGCAUCGCCUUCAAUCUUCGCCUCCAAAAAACCCAAACCAAUACCCAUUUUGACAACUUGGAAACAUGCAAGAGCCUUCGCAGCAAAAACUGAAGGAACCAUCAUAGUUGAUCUUUACUAAAGGGGACUCCGGAGGCCCUCAUCUUUCAAAUUCCACCCUCCUAACAGGUAAUCGCUUGUUAAUAGCAUCUAGUUCCCGAAUAUAAGAAAUGAUUAUAUUGGUUGUUUCUUGAGUUGUUUGUAUGACCCCAACAUGAAUUACUUUGUUUCUUGCUAUCCAAAUUGCCCAAAUUACACAAGCCACAAUUCUGUAGUGAUAAUUUGAGACAUUUGAAAAAAUAUUUGCCAACCAAUCUUUGUAUUCUGAAUUUGAGACCUCAUGGGACCAUCAUAUAGUUAACUCUUUCCAUACUUCCUUUGUAGUAUAACAGUCUUGGAAAGUAUGUUCUAAGUUUUCAUUCCCACUAGAGCAUUUGGGACCGACAAGUCUUCUAUAGUGUAAAUUGUUGAAAUUAGGGAUGAAGUUUGGACACUUACUUCAAUCAUCAUCAAAGCGUCUUUGGAAUUAACUUCUAUAUUUGAACAAAUAAA